GCACCUCUCACUCCCUUUCUCUAACUAGUCUUGUGUGCACCCAUUUAUGUGUACGUACUAUUAUCUCAUAAAUAAAUAUUUUUAAAAUUAGAUGCAUUUAUUGAUAUGAAAAAGUUACAAGAUUAGUUUGUUGUGUGUGAGACUUUGGAUCGACAGAUCGAAAAAUUAACUAACCGGUCAGUAUUGAAUAUCAACUAUUAUAUGCUCCAUGCAUUCGCUUAUAGUUUCACACAAUUUGUUUUCUUCACGGUCUAAAAUCAGAAGAUUCCAUAUAUUUUCUUAUGACGUAAAAGGACCACUUAUAAGUUGACACGUCAGCCCUUGGAUUCGUGAGAUACUCGAUCUCUUGUGCGUGCGUAAAUUUUAUACAAGUUGUCGGCGGAUCCAUGGAAGAAAGCUCAUCUGUCGUUGUUUGUAGGCGCAGCACCAUUAAGAUUCACAUGGAAAUUGAUAAAUACCCUAAAUUAGGGUUUUGAUAUGUAUAUGAGAAUCUUGAUGAUGCUGCAUCAACAAUCGACGGCUACAAAUACCUAAAGCUUGAGAAAGAAACUUGAAGAUAUUGAUUGAAGUCUGGAUCGAUCUUUGGUAAUGCUAUGAUCAAGAACAACAAGAUCGUGAGCACAGAUCGGCCAGUUCGGUCACUUUUUAAAAGAGAGAUGUUAUAUUGUUAAUUUGUUAUUAUCAGGUAUAAUAAAUACAGAAUAGUUCGUCCAGAGACCAGACAUUUUAUAGUUUCAAUUUUAUGACAGUCUUGUAAUAAUAUUUGUUUAAUAGUGUGUCACCUUCUAUUUCUGGGUUAUUACUUGGUCCCGAAAUUUUCUUAUUGUUCUAAUUUUGUAAUAUUAGAAAUUUGGUUUUCUUGCCAAAUCAAAUCAAACAUUACGGUGUGUUGUACAUUGUACCAGAACUUUUGUUUUCAAGUGCUCAACUUGAGAACC
rnacentral:misc_RNA from 1 species